ensembl:lncRNA
AUGCAGUGGAGCUCCUCCCUAGCAAGCUUUGGCAGCACUUCUGCAGGCACUUUCCCUGGGAGUUCUAUGGGUGCUCUAGUUGGCCUGUAGGUGGAGAGUUCAACAACAACCACCAAGGGCAGCUUCCGGAAGACUAUCGUCAACAUUCCAAUGGGCAGAUUCUUGCCCACCAGGCUUGGCCCACUGGCACUCCAGUGAAGGUUUUACUGCUUGCCUGUGCUGUCCUGUACUUCCCUGACCACCAGCUCAGCCCAGUAACUGCGGGCCAGUUCUGGCUCAGGGCAGCCCAGCAAACUUCCCCACAGCCUAGUGGGUUACAAUCGCAACCUCUUCAAGAAGGCUGGAAUCUCAUAUCUGAGAUCUUUGGGGAUAGACAUUGGACGAUUAUUGGAGAAUAACUGUGGUUUGUCAUAAACUGAAUCAGGCAGUGAUUCCAAAUGCAGCUGUCGUCUCUGUUGAACCUUUACUGGAGCAAAUCAGUGCAAUUCCCAGCCUUUGAGAGCUCAUGGAUGCUGUGCCCUCCGUGUCACCACGCCAUUUUUCAGCUAGUGCUAAUUCAGUUAUUGGCUGGCUGAACGCAGGGGUCCUAGUGGAGGACUUUGGGGAGGCCCUACAAGAUGGCGGAACCACAAAAUGGAAGGCACUGGAUCCCUAGAUCACCACAAAAAGGAUUUUCCAUUGAACUCCUCAUUGGACUGUAAUGUGAAUGAAAAAUAAGUUUAAACAGUUACUAAGCCACUGAGACAUUUGAGUUGCCGUGAUAUCCGCAGCUGUAAUUACUCUGAGUCUACAAGAAAUAUAGUGCAACACGGUCUACCCGUACGACAGCUGUAAAGUUCUAGCAUAGUGCUUGGUAAGAAGCAGGCGUUCAAUAAACAUUAAUUCCUCGAUACAAGACUGAAAUCAAUGACAGGAACUCGACACCGAAUUGGAGGUAUGUUUCAGGUACCAAAUUAAACACAUUAAUUUGAAAUGAGGACAAUAGGUUCAGGAAGAUGAAAUGGAGACCUCUACACGUCUUCCUCAAGCACAUUGUCUCACCCAGUUGUACCCACAGCUCGACGAGCUCGAUACUGUUACUACUACAUAUGACCGAUGAGGAGACAAAAAAACUUGGGCAGUUUGCUGAAAUUUUCUAAACUUUUGCCUCCUCAUAGGUCGGCAGUGAUAAAACUGAGAUUCAAAUCCGGGCAUUUCCAUUCCAAAGCCCGAGUGUUCAGUCACUAUAUUAUAUUUUAUGUCACCCAGAAUCCUAGCCUAGUUCACCUUUCCACAAUAUUUUAACCCAUGGAGGCCAGCAAUAUGUCCUGUCUCUAAGGGUUCCCCAAGGGACUAGUAUGGUGCUUGGCAGAAACCUCAAAAAUGUUGACUUAUUGAUUGCUUUGUGUGAACUGUCUCAGUUCUGAAUCCAAGAAAAUGUAGAUAGGAAUGUCUUUUCCUCACAAAUAGGCAAAUCACAAAAGAGCAAACGAUGAUGAGUUAUAUAUUAGGUUGUCUCAGAGUAAAUAGGCAGCCAUUCUUGCCCCGGAUGUAAGUAGACUCUCAGUCCUAAGUGACCAACAUGGUGUGGUACCUCGGAGCAUCCAUUGCUGAACAUCCUUUGUGAAACGUCCUCCUGAAGAAGGCCUUGGAGGCCUGGUUCACUGUCGCUACUAAAGCCAUUUUGGCUCCAGAUUUUCUUAUUGAAGCCAAGUUUCCAUAGUCUUAUUUUUUUUUGAUAUUAA